UUAGUUUAGCAAAAGAGCAUGAUUUAA
rnacentral:piRNA from 3 species